rnacentral:lncRNA from 1 species
CGAAAAGGAAGGGAAAGAAGCCGUCCUGAUGUCAACUGGCAAAUGACAAAACCAGCCCAGCAAUAAGGAAACUUGCAAAGAAAAACAGCAAAGAUGCCACCCUGGCAAACAGCGCAUCCUUCAGUCCUCCAAAAUGCCAGCAAAGAUGUUCUCUUCAGCAGAGGUCUCCAUAUGGGAAAUAUUAGAAGAAUUGUCACUUAGUAAACUCUCUAUUAUUGAGAAAGGACACAAAAUAAACUGUUUCAUCUGCCUUUCAAGCCAACAUCUCCAGAAGCAAUUCUAUGAAGACUUUUUUACAUUUAGAGAUUACCAGUGAAUAGCUAAUUGACUUAAUCAUCCUAAACUGCCCCUCCCUAAAUAAGAGCUCUUGGAGGCACUGUUUCCUAAAGAAAAUAAGGGAGAAAAGCCAAGAAAAACAAGAUGUUUCUAUUCUCAGAAUUUAAUUUCCUACAGCGAUACACAGUGAUAUGGUGGAGGAUGACACACAAGUGAUAGAAGGAUUAUCAGCAAGUUGUGAAGCUAUGAAAACUACUCAGAUUCAAAAAUGAAUGUUAUCUACAUUCAAAGCAAUUCAUAAGGGAAGCUGGGAAGCAGUGGAACAAUGUAUUUGGUAACUUAUGAAAGGAUUUCCA